AUCCCAUGUUGAGGACAUUUUCUCAACAAUUCUUUGUAUCUUUCCCAUGCCUCGUACAAAGUUUCAAACUAUAUCUGUCAAAAAGAAGAUAUGUCAUUUCUAAGUUU